rnacentral:tRNA from 1 species
GCUCCCAUCGUCUAGAGGCCCAGGACGUCGCCCUCUCACGGCGAAAACCGGGGUUCGAAUCCCCGUGGGAGCGCCA